AGAUUGAACGCUGGCGGCAUGCCUUACACAUGCAAGUCGGACGGCAGCACGGGAGCAAUCCUGGUGGCGAGUGGCGAACGGGUGAGUAAUAUAUCGGAACGUGCCCAGUCGUGGGGGAUAACGCAGCGAAAGCUGUGCUAAUACCGCAUACGAUCUAUGGAUGAAAGCGGGGGAUCGCAAGACCUCGCGCGAUUGGAGCGGCCGAUAUCAGAUUAGCUAGUUGGUGGGGUAAAAGCCUCCCAAGGCGACGAUCUGUAGCUGGUCUGAGAGGACGACAGCCACACUGGAACUGAGACACGGUCCAGACU
rnacentral:rRNA from 1 species